rnacentral:snRNA from 1 species
GUGCUUGCUUUGGCAGCACAGAUACUAAAGUUGGAAAGAUACACAGAAGAUUAACAUGGCCCCUGCACAAGGAUGACAUGCAAAUUUGUGAACUGUUCCACAUUAAG